AGAUCUACUCCAGAGUACCACGAGACACGUGAAACCUUGUGGGAAGCUGGGAGGACCACCUCCCAAGGCUAAAUACUAACUGGUGACCGAUAGUGAAGCAGUACCGUGAGGGAAAGGUGAAAAGAACCCCGGAAGGGGAGUGAAAUAGAACCUGAAACCGUGUGUCCACAACCGGUCGAAGCACUUUUACGUGCGACGACGUGCUUUUUGUAGAACGAGCCAGCGAGUUACGGUAUGUAGCAAGGUUAAGUACUUAAGGUACGGAGCCGAAGGGAAACCGAGUCUGAAUAGGGCGAAAAGUUGCAUGUCGUAGACCCGAAACCGGGUGACCUAUCCAUGGCCAGGAUGAAGCGGAAGUAAAAUUCCGUGGAGGUCCGAACCACGUUGGUGUUGAAAAACCAUGGGAUGAGCUGUGGAUAGCGGAGAAAUUCCAAUCGAACUCGGAGAUAGCUGGUUCUCCUCGAAAUAGCUUUAGGGCUAGCGUUGAGAUUGAGUAAUGGAGGUAGAGCACUGAAUGGGCUAGGGGCUGACAACAGUUACUGAACCCUAUCAAACUCCGAAUGCCAUAUACUUGUAUCUCAGCAGUCAGACUACGAAUGAUAAGAUCCGUGGUCAAAAGGGAAACAGCCCAGAUCAUCAGCUAAGGUCCCAAAGUGUAAGUUAAGUGGAAAAGGAUGUGGGAUUUCUAAGACAACUAGGAUGUUGGCUUAGAAGCAGCCACUCAUUUAAAGAGUGCGUAAUAGCUCACUAGUCAAGAGAUCCUGCGCCGAAGAUGUCCGGGGCUAAAACUUACCACCGAAGCUAUGGGCUCGAAAGAGCGGUAGAGGAGCUUCCUGUAUGGAGUGAAGUCGUACCGAAAGGAGCGGUGGACUGUACAGGAGUGAGUAUGCUGGCAUAAGUAGCGAGAAAUAAGUGAGAAUCUUAUUGGUCGAAAAUCUAAGGUUUCCUGAGGAAGGCUCGUCCGCUCAGGGUUAGUCGGGACCUAAGCCGAGGCCGAAAGGCGUAGGUGAUGGACAAUCGGUUGAUAUUCCGAUACCACCAACUGACGUUAUUACAAAUGGGAUGACGCAGGAGGAUAGGAUGUGCACACUAUUGGAUGUGUGUCUAAGCAUCUAGACAGAUCAGACAGGCAAAUCCGUCUGGUUAAUGUUGAGGUGUGAUGGGGAGUGGCCUUGUGCCGCGAAGUAUCUGAUUCCACGCUGCCAAGAAAAGUCUCUAUGGAGGAUGUUGGUGCCCGUACCGCAAACCGACACAGGUAGAUGAGGAGAGAAUCCUAAGACCAUCGGAAGAAUUGUUGUCAAGGAACUCGGCAAAUUGACCCCGUAACUUCGGGAGAAGGGGUGCCUAUGUAACAGUAGGCCGCAGAGAAUAGGCCCAAGCAACUGUUUAGCAAAAACACAGGUCUCUGCUAAAGCGAAAGCUGAAGUAUAGGGGCUGACGCCUGCCCGGUGCUGGAAGGUUAAGGGGAACACUUAGCG
rnacentral:rRNA from 1 species